CAAGUGGUGGUCAACUCUUCUCAAGGCUCCUGUGAGAUUAGUGAGCUGGCCCGGAGGUGAACCCAACAAGCUGAGAGGGACCUGACAAAGCUGAUGGCUGUUUUCAGAAAGGGAGAGAGAGAAGCAGAGUGUAUUGUUUGGCCCUCCUGUACUGACCCCCAGGGCCUAACAUGAAGCAGAUGUGGAAGGGAAGAUACCCCUACAACAAGGUCUGAACAGUCAUUUGGAGGUGCUCCAUUCACCAGAGUCACAUCCGACAACCAACAUUCAU